AACGCACGAGACCUGCGGACCUGCGGAGGGAUCAUUAAUGAGAAGCUGCCCCUCGUGGGUAGACCUCCCACCCUCUGUGAACUUACCUUUGUUGCUUUGGCAGGCCCGUCCUCUGGACCGCCGGCUUCGGCUGGCCCGUGCCUGCCAGAGGAUUCCAAACCCUGUCUGCCAGUGUUGUCUGAGUCUAUAUGAAAUCGUUAAAACUUUUAACAACGGAUCUCUAGAUCGGAAGAGCACACG
rnacentral:misc_RNA from 1 species